UUUCACAAUAUUUCUAUUUAUACUGUAUUUCUGAUAAAACAAAUGUAGCCUUGGUGAGCAUAAGAGACUUUUCAAAAACAUAAAAAAAAGUUGUUAAAUUAUUUGAUUUGAUUUGAUUUAAUUUGAUUUGACAGCCAGUAGACACUUAAAUUUCAGUCUGUUCUUCAUCUAAAGUGAUCAUAUCACUUCACAAGACGUGAAAAAAACAUUCUUCAAAUAUCUUCUUUUGUGAUCCAUAGAAGAAAAGAGUUUAGAAUGGCAUGAAGGUGAGUAAAUCAUGACCAUUUUAAUUUAUUGCUUUAACACUUAAGAACAUUGGUUUAUGGCAAUUGAAGGAAUAAGAGCAAAAAUGUGGACUUUUAUAUUAAAAAAAUCCUGCCUAUGUUUUCUAAAAUACCUUUCUAAAUACCACCCCAAGUGUGUUCCAGAGUCAUUAUGAAGCUGAAUCAAGGCCAAGGUGCUCUCCAGCCCUGCAGGGAAGUUCCUGGCUGCUGGCAUGCUAUCAGACAAGUAGUUGAGACGAUUUAAUGUGGAACAGUUCGCUUUCUAUGGCAGUGAACCUGCUGCAAACAGAGGAGAGAAAGAGAUGUAAGAUGAAUCAAGGAAGAUCACAGUAUGGAAUGGGAAAGUCGGCCAAAACAUGGGAGAAUGGGUUUCAUGGAUCCAUAAAAGCUUUGAAUUUAUCCAUAUGGACAUGGAAGAUAACGUGCAUCUCACGCUUGCUAGGAAAAGUAAAAGAAAGCUGAAUGAAAACAAAAACACUCCUGCAGGAUGUGUGACAGCUCUCACCUCCGAACCCAGCAGUUGCUCGCUGGUUUCAAAUCACCCUAAUGACCACAUAAUGACCUCACUUGAGUCACCUGCUGCCGUGACCAGGCUUGACCUGGCAUCUCUUCUGGAAAAAAAUCUGUAGCCUUUUAAAAAUGCCUCACAGAAACUAUGUGGACUAACAUGCCAUCUCAGCCGCUCGUUUUCCAGUUUAGAUUUGGUACAUUCUAAGGAAUCUUGGCAUCCCAGUUGUGUUCAAAUAAAGUAGUUUGUAGUUUUUUAGUAAACUAAUAAGGAACUCAAGUAUACAAUGGAGCACAUCUGAGAUGAGGAAUCUUAUGGAAAGUAAACUAUCCUGCUGGAUACAUCCUGCCCUGUGAACAAAGGCCUUUGCCAGAUGAGACCCCUGGGACCUUUGCACCACUCUUAAACACUCAGAACAUUUAUGCUGCUUUAAAUUUCCUUUUACAUCUUUCCCUUGAUAUCUCAGCUCAGGGAUAUUGUUUUCCAGAGCUGCAUGUAUUUAUUUUGAAUGCUCUGAAUCACAUAUGUUCGCCUUUCCUGGUCAAAGUUUCAACAUGGUAUAAGCUCAAAUAGUCACAUUCGACAGAUCAUCUUUGUAGUAUGGUCACUUUCAAUUUGAAUCUGAAACCCGUUUUUUAAAACAGAAUCUAAUUGUUGUGUCAUGUGAUGUUUAUUUGGCACUGAUAAAUGUAUUUUAAUGCAUACUUGAUCAUCAACUGGUGUUGUUUCUUUUAUAUUUUACACCAUAACGCUGUUUGAAAAGACACAUUAUUACCUCUUCAAUGAACAUUCAGUGACCGUUCGGAAUUAGGAAGCUUGGGCCAUUGUGCCAAUUCCCAUGAAAUCUCUUGAUAUUUCUUUCAGUUGUUCUCCAUUCGUAAUUAGUUGUGGUCAGGCUGAUCAAAGGACUGGGGCGGCCGGUUGCAUGUGAACCAGCGUCUCUCGUGAUGACAUCCACAAACCAGAAUGAAAUAUGAAAUAUCAAGUUUCCACGGAUGCAUGGACUUGUAAGGAAAAAAAGCGAAAGAAUUGGGGGAUUUUCACACCGAUAAUGUGAAACAUUUGGUGCAUGUUGUUGGCCUCUGAAGAGGAAAAUCCGGAUCCAAAAGUGGUCUGGCAGUAAAACAGAAGCAAGUCAAAUGCUAAAACAACAGCAGUCAUUGAGAAUCACUGAUUUAGAUGUCAUUAUAGCGUCUUCCUGCACUAGAUAGCUGGGCUCUCAUGGAAGACUAGAAUGAUUUGUGCACUCAGGCAUAGCAUGGCGUGGCUUACCAUGAAAGAAACAAAACAGACCUGUUCUUACUUGCGUUCCACUUACAUAUCACAAUUAUGUUGCCAGGAAAAUAACCACUUUUUGCAGCUGCAAUAAAUAUUUUGGUUAAUAUAAAAUGGCCCUCUGCUUUUUGCUGUCAGACAUAUGAAAACCCUUUUCACCAGAGUAAAAAAUGAAGCAUGUAAUUGAAUAAAAAAGGAGUUACACUGUGAGAUAUGAAGUUGCAGUUUCAAGAAAUUAGGUUAAAAUUGUGAUAUGUAUAACAUUGCGAGAUAUAAUGUUGGAAUUAUAGUUUAUUACCUUUUUAUUUUAAUUAUUUUUUUAAAGAAAUUGGCAUGCAUACAGACAAAAACAAAUAUGAAGUGAUGUAGAAGGCAUGUAAAAAGGGUAGGAAAUGAUGUAGAAUUGUAUGAAAUAGACCAGAUCAUUUUAAUUUUCAUGUACUGUGGUUAUGCGAUAAUCAUAUUUCAGUAGGACUAAGAUUAGAAAGUAUGAUUAAGACUCAGAACUAAGGAUCACACACUUCAAAAAUUGGAUUAAAUGGCUUACACUGUGUAAAUCACUCUCUUAAAAUACAUACAACCAGUAUUCACUACCAGUAGUUUACAUUCGGUACUUACUAUAUUGUAUUGUAAUACACAUUUGAGGCCAGAGCUGGGCAGAGCUGAGGUUUGCACAAAUUUGUUUAUCUGAACCAAAUGACUCACUUUAUCCUGCUGCUUCAUUUGGAGAUAAAUGCGGUAUAGAAUUACCCUAUGGCCACUUACUCCAUCUUUUGUGCAAAGGCUGAUUCAAACAGACCGGUAAGUGAGAGAGAAAAGCUGUGGAACAGAGAGUCAUCCCUCACUUCAGGCUUCCCCGCCCAUCAGAUGUUCCCCUGCAGCUCCGAAUGAAGUAGCAGACUUUGUAACAAACAACAUUGUCUGAGACAGGUGCAGGUGGCAAUCAAAGUCUAAACGACCAAAUGAAUGGCCUCCUAACCAAGCUAUAUAAGCAAAUAAACAGAGGGCGGCUUCAAGUGGCAGGAUGUGUAACUUCUGCUUGAUGGUGGGCAAAGUGUAACAGAAGCUAAACAACGCUUUAUCUAUUUUGCAGACGCACCCUGCUUAAAAGUGUGGAAGCCAUUGCCAGUGCAAAAGGCCACCGGCAGGGAUACAGUGUGUUUUUAA
rnacentral:lncRNA from 1 species